GCCACUGGAAGGACCAGAGCGGCUUGUGAACAUUUGCAGCAGCACAUCCAAGCAUGAAAACACAGAGCACAAGAAGCAGAAGCCUUGGAAAACUGAUGACACCCAGCCUGGGAGGGAGAGAGAAAUGUUACAUGGUUUGAGAAACCAGAGCCAACAGAAAAUUAGGAGUAAAGGCAAGGGGUGGGGGCAACAAAAGAGCCAAGGCAUGAAGAUUGUCCUCAUCUGACAAAGCUUGAGGAGUUCAUGGUGGCUGAGGAAGCACAUGCCAGAGUCACCUCCAGACU